UAGGGGGCAAGCGUUAUCCGGAUUUACUGGGUGUAAAGGGAGCGUAGACGGCAAUGCAAGUCUGGAGUGAAAGCCCAAGGCUCAACCAUGGGACUGCUCUGGAAACUGUGUAGCUUGAGUGCAGGAGGGGUAAGCGGAAUUCCUAGUGUAGCGGUGAAAUGCGUAGAUAUUAGGAGGAACACCGGUGGCGAAGGCGGCUUACUGGACUGCAACUGACGUUGAGGCUCGAAGGCGUGGGGAGCA
rnacentral:rRNA from 1 species